UUAAGAAGCUAUAUUCCACAGGGUGUGGUGGCACACUUCUGUGAUUCCAGCCCUCAGGAAGCUGAGCCAGGAUGAUUCCAAGUUUGAAGGCAACCUGGACUGCACAAUGAGACCCUUUCAUUAAAAAGAGGAGUGGGAGUGAAGGAGGAAGGGUGAAAGAAACCAUGUUUCUCCAUUUAGCACUUGUCAGUGGCUAUUUCAUUAAUACUUUUCAGAGAAGCUGGUUUUACAGGUGUUGCAAAUAAAUUAGUAUCAUUGAAAUGACACAUUCCCAGGAAAACUCCAGAAAAAAAGGAUAUGUUACUUAUAGAAAAUACAUUGUUAACACAGUUAGCUACAAGAUAAUAUUUUGUGGUAGCCGGAAUCUUAGAGUGUGGGAAAUGUCAAUUCUGUGACCACUGGGUAGAUGAGUGGAGUGAUGUUAGUCAGUUCUCUUUGCUUCAGUUCCUUGUUUAGAAGACAAGAGGAAUGGCUGUGUUCAAUGCUUCUCCUUCAGCAUGCAGAAGAAACAGAAAUUUGAACCCACAAAGUACUUUAUUUUUUCUAGCAGUACUAGGGACUGAACCCAAGUGAUGGGUCAGAGACAGCAGGCAGGUAGAGGGUAAAGCACCAUAGAAGCAAAGAGAUGUGUAUGCCAGAGUCAGGUGGGGGAUUUUCAAAUUGUUCCCUCUUCCAACCUUAAGUGAGGAACAUAACUGAAGAAGACCUCAGUGGCUGAUGCCAUAGUUAUGGAAAAUAAGCUCUGGGUUCUAAAUAUGAGAGAUAUACACUGUGGUGAUUAAAGUCAAAGGCUUCAGUUUCAAGGACACUAGGGUAUGAACAUAGGGCCGGGGAUUUAGCUCAGUGGUUUUGUCGCCUGCUGCGCAAGCGCAAAGACCCGAGUUUGAUCCCUGGUACCUAAACCCCCCCCCAAAUCCAAAAAACAUUGAUUCCACUCCUUAUUGACAUAGUCUUGAAUGAUUUAUUUUAUUUUUGCAGUACUAGGGAUAGAACCCAGGUCCUUGUGUAUCAUAGGCCAAUACUCUACCAUUAAACUAUA
ensembl:lncRNA